UGUUUUACCGUCCCUUUUUCAUUUGACCUCACAAUGUCGUGGUAAUACUCGAACCUGGCUUCAAAGGACUAUGUUAUGUUGUACUGGAGAAAAGUAGGUAGCCUGGUGAUUAAGAGCCUUGUGUCAUGGUCUUAAAAGGAGGAAAAAUGAUUUUCACCACUAAGCAAUAUAUGCUUGUAUGGUUUGAAUUGUAUUGCUUAAUUGCUAUUUUACUAAUAACAGGAUAUGGUAGUUGGGGGGACCGAAACAGCCUCGAGUACGGUUGAGUUUGCCAUGGCAGAGAUGAUGAAUAAACCUGAAAUCAUGAAGAAAGUACAGACAGAAUUGGAGAAUGUAGUUGGAAAAAAUGCAAUAGUAGAAGAAUUUCACAUUCAGAAACUGCCUUACCUCUAUGCAGUGAUGAAAGAAGUCCUGCGCCUGCACCCGGUUCUUCCCCUUAUGGUGAAUCACAGCCCCAGUGUAUCAAGUGUUGUUGCCAAUUACAG
rnacentral:lncRNA from 1 species